rnacentral:rRNA from 1 species
CAGUAGCCGCGGUAAUACGUAGGUGGCAAGCGUUGUCCGGAAUUAUUGGGCGUAAAGGGCUCGCAGGCGGUUUCUUAAGUCUGAUGUGAAAGCCCCCGGCUCAACCGGGGAGGGUCAUUGGAAACUGGGAAACUUGAGUGCAGAAGAGGAGAGUGGAAUUCUCGGAGUAGCGGUAAAAUGCGUAGAUCUCGAGAGGAACACCAAUGGCGAAGGCAGCUUCUUGGUCCAUUCCUGACGUUCAUACACGAAAGCGUGGGGAGCAAACAGGAUUAGAUACCCCCGUAGUCCCUGUCUCUUAUAC